rnacentral:rRNA from 1 species
GCAGUAGCCGCGGUAAAACGGAGGGAGCUAGCGUUAUUCGGAAUUACUGGGCGUAAAGCGCACGUAGGCGGCUUUGUAAGUUAGAGGUGAAAGCCUGGAGCUCAACUCCAGAAUUGCCUUUAAGACUGCAUCGCUUGAAUCCAGGAGAGGUGAGUGGAAUUCCGAGUGUAGAGGUGAAAUUCGUAGAUAUUCGGAAGAACACCAGUGGCGAAGGCGGCUCACUGGACUGGUAUUGACGCUGAGGUGCGAAAGCGUGGGGAGCAAACAGGAUUAGAUACCCCCGUAGUCCCUGUCUCUUAUAC